rnacentral:rRNA from 1 species
GAGUACGUCGCAAGAAUGAAACUCAAAGGAAUUGACGGGACCCGCACAAGCGGUCGAGCACGUGGUUUAAUUCGAAGCAACGCGAAGAACUUACCUGCUCUUGACAUCUGCUGACCAUCCGGGCAAUGCCGGACUCUCUUCGGAGCAGCAGAGACAGGUGGUGCAUGGUUGUCGUCAGCUCGUGUCGUGAGAUGUUGGGUUAAGUCCCGCAACGAGCGCAACCCUUGUCCUUAGUAGCCAGCGGUCCGGCCGGGCACUCUAGGGAGACUGCCGGGGACAACCCGGAGGAAGGUGGGGAUGACGUCAAAUCAUCAUGCCCCUUAUGAGCAGGGCUACACACGUGCUACAAUGGCGUAGACAAAGGGAAGCGAAGGAGCGAUCCGGAGCGAAUCCCAAAAAUAACGUCCCAGUUCGGAUUGUAGUCUGCAACUCGACUACAUGAAGCUGGAAUCGCUAGUAAUCGCGAAUCAGAAUGUCGCGGUGGAGACGUUCCCGGGUCUUGUACACACCGCCCGUCACACCAUGGGAGUCGGUAACGCCCGAAGUCAGUGACCCAACCGGAAGGAGGGAGCUGCCGAAGGCGGGAUCGGUAACUGGGGUGAAGUCGUUAACAAGGUAACCUUA